rnacentral:misc_RNA from 1 species
GAUGAAGAACGCAGCGAAAUGCGAUAAGUAGUGUGAAUUGCAGAUUUCAGUGAAUCAUCGAAUCUUUGAACGCACAUUGCGCCCCCUGGUAUUCCGGGGGGCAUGCCUGUUCGAGCGUCAUUACAACCCUCAAGCUCUGCUUGGUAUUGGGCCCCGCCGACCCGGCGAGCCCUAAAAUCAGUGGCGGUGCCGUCUGGUUCCGAGCGUAGUAAUUCUUCUCGCUUUGGAGGCCGGGCGUGUGCUUGCCAGCAACCCCCAAUUUUUUUCAGGUUGACCUCGGAUCAGGUAGGGAUACCCGCUGAACUUAAGCAUAUCAAUAAGCGGAGGA